AUACGGAGGAUCCGAGCGUUAUCCGGAUUUAUUGGGUUUAAAGGGAGCGUAGGCGGACGCUUAAGUCAGUUGUGAAAGUUUGCGGCUCAACCGUAAAAUUGCAGUUGAUACUGGGUGUCUUGAGUACAGUAGAGGCAGGCGGAAUUCGUGGGGUAGCGGUGGAAUGCUUAGAUAUCACGAAGAACUCCGAUUGCGAAGGCAGCCUGCUGGACUGUAACUGACGCUGAUGCUCGAAAGUGUGGGUAUCAAACAGGAUUAGAUACCCUGGUAGUCCACACAGUAAACGAUGAAUACUCGCUGUUUGCGAUAUACAGUAAGCGGCCAAGCGAAAGCGUUAAGUAUUCCACCUGGGGAGUACGCCGGCAACGGUGAAACUCAAAGGAAUUGACGGGG
rnacentral:rRNA from 1 species